AUAGUAAAUAUCUGAUCUAUGAAAAUAAGGAUUGUAGCUUAAGGUGAAUGCAAUUUAGCAGUGAAAUAUUCUAUGUUAUAUAAUAGAGUCAAAAAAGGAACAAAUGGCUUCUUGGAGAUGUAUUUUAAUUCAUACUAAAAUAAAUAGUUAAGAAACUCCUGAUUAUGUAUACGUUGUGUCAUUCAGGACGUUAAUACUUUUGUAUCAUAAUAUGUGUUAUUUUACAGUAAUAAUUGAAGAUUUGUGCAAGUCAAUUAAACAAUACUUGCUUGGAAAUUGCCACAUGAGACCAUCAAAAAUGAACAGAUUAUGCAAACAGAAAACAUUCAGGAACAAUGUUAAAAUUUUAAUAUUUGUAAAUAGAAAGAAGAAAGUUACCUGCCUUUUUAUGUUAUGGGAGCACUUGCAAAUGAGCAUCAAAACAAGAAGAUAAUAUUAAAAAGACAAUUUGUGCCAGUACCUUUUUCAGCACCAUGGUAGUGCUGAAUUGCCUAUCCAGCUCUGUAUUCUUGGCAGCCUUUAUGGUUUUUCACACAAUUUUUGAAGAAUGUUAGAAUCUCCAGAGUCUUAUAAAUCAGCAAAGUGAAUUUACUAAUGGAAAAGAGAAGAAAUAAUUUCUUGAUCUGAACCUUCUGCUUUAUGAGAGCUCGCAUACACAUAACAAAUGGAAAAUGGUUAGAAAUGUGCUGAUGAUGACUUAGUAGCCCUAACCUGAGAGCAGCUGAGAAAAUGUUCAUUUCUGAAAACUAGAGGUCCUGAGUUCAAUUCACAGUAGCCACAGGGUGGCUCACAACAAUAUGUAAUGGGAUCUGAUACUCUUCUGAUGUGUCAAGAGCUAUCCAUAGUGUACUAGUUCUAGAGAGUUGGUGGUUACCGAAUUGGAUAGCCAUUGGUUCUACAGCCGUUAUGAUGAUAUGAAAAAUUAAAUGUGUUGCCUGAACACUUUUGGGGAUCAUUAUAAUAGAAAUCAGAUAAUGGAUAGAGACUGGAUUGCUGAUUUGAAGACAAUUACAUUAUAAAAUUUUUUUCAUUGCUGCUGUUGCAUUAACCCAAGAAGUAGAGACACUACUACAUGGAUAAGACUUUUAUGAUUGAAUUGAUAUUGCCAUCAUCCAGUGUUUUCAUAAGUAUGAAGUGUAUUUCAUGAUAUUUUUGAAGUUAUAGAGAUUUUACUAUUUUUUAAAGGGUUUAAGUAAUGUGUAGGUUAGUCCUAGUUAUGUUAUAACAUUAACCAAGUAAUGUUAUAACAAUAUUGUAUGAAGUUUUACUUUUAUAGUGAAUCCCAAAGUUGUGGGGAUUCCUGGUACAUUUUAUUGGAUAUAAAUGUGUUAUAAGUACAGCUGUUUAUGGGUUGAGAUAAUAAUUUUACAGAUAUGUGUCACAAUUCUAUUACUUUGAAUUAUAUUGGCAAGGUAUAUCAAGUCUACAUUUGAUUGAAUGCCUUAGUAGGGUUAAUAUAUUUGACCACUAAAAUGGCAGGAAUUUUAGUCAACAGUCCUCAGUCCUAUGUAUGUAUGUAUGUAUGUAUGUAUGUAUGUAUGUAUGUAUGUAUGUAUGUUUUAUUUAUUUAUUUAUUAAAUCAUCAUGCUACUAAUUUCUGUUCAUUGUUUGUUUGAGUUUCCAUGCUGAGUAUCUGUUACUCAAAAGUGCAUUUGUAAAUAAGUCUGUAAGCAGGUCAUCAUGUAUGUCAAGUGAAAUACUGUGUUCUCUACUCACUCUUUUGUUACUAAGUUGUACAUAAUUUAUGUAUUAAAUACAAAAUGUUCUCUUUUA